rnacentral:rRNA from 1 species
GAUGAACGCUAGCGGCAGGCUUAACACAUGCAAGUCGAGGGGUAUGCCGAUUUAUCGGCAGAGACCGGCGCACGGGUGCGUAACGCGUAUGCAAUCUACCUUUCACAGAGGGAUAGCCCAGAGAAAUUUGGAUUAAUACCUCAUAGUAUAGCGGUUUCGCAUGAAACCACUAUUAAAGUUCCAACGGUGAAAGAUGAGCAUGCGUCCCAUUAGCUAGAUGGUAAGGUAACGGCUUACCAUGGCUACGAUGGGUAGGGGUCCUGAGAGGGAGAUCCCCCCANACUGGUACUGAGACACGGACCAGACUUCCUACGGGAGGCAGCAGUGAGGAAUAUUGGUCAAAUGGACGCAAGUCUGAACCAGCCAUGCCGCGUGACAGGAUGACGGUCCUAUGG